ACCGCCGGCCAUAGGCAGUGGGGAAAUACCCGGGCUCAUUCCGAACCCGGAAGUCAAGCCCACUGCCGCGCGCCUGAGUACUGGUGUCCGAGAGGCACCGGGAAAGGGGCGUGCUGGCGGUG
rnacentral:rRNA from 1 species